GAUGAACGCUGGCGGCGUGCCUAAUACAUGCAAGUCGAGCGAACAGACGAGGAGCUUGCUCCUCUGACGUUAGCGGCGGACGGGUGAGUAACACGUGGAUAACCUACCUAUAAGACUGGGAUAACUUCGGGAAACCGGAGCUAAUACCGGAUAAUAUAUUGAACCGCAUGGUUCAAUAGUGAAAGACGGUUUUGCUGUCACUUAUAGAUGAUCCGCGCCGCAUUAGCUAGUUGGUAAGGUAACGGCUUACCAAGGCGACGAUGCGUAGCCGACCUGAGAGGGUGAUCGGCCACACUGGAACUGAGACACGGUCCAGACUCCUACGGGAGGCAGCAGUAGGGAAUCUUCCGCAAUGGGCGAAAGCCUGACGGAGCAACGCCGCGUGAGUGAUGAAGGUCUUCGGAUCGUAAAACUCUGUUAUUAGGGAAGAACAAAUGUGUAAGUAACUAUGCACGUCUUGACGGUACCUAAUCAGAAAGCCACGGCUAACUACGUG
rnacentral:rRNA from 1 species